rnacentral:snRNA from 1 species
AUACUUACCUGGCAGGGGAGAUACCAUGAUCACGAAGGUGAUUUUUCCAGGGCGAGGCUUAUCCAUUGCGGUCCGGAUGUGCUGACCCCUGCGAUUUUCCCAAAUGUGGGAAACUCAACUGCAUAAUUUGUGGUAGUGGGGGACUGUGUUUCAGGCUUUCCCCUA